UGUCAUUAAUGUGACCGGUCACGUGUUUGUGUUUGUACACUUGCAUAUGUGGAAGCCUCAGCUUGGCAGUUACUUUGAAGAAAGAAAAGGAACAAAAAACCUGUCCAGUCAGUGUAAUUAGUUUAAAUCGUGCAGCUCUGCCUCUGUGUACCACCACAAUGAAUAAAACCAGACGGAUCUGAUUUAAGUGUAGACCUGAAGAUCAACUUAAACUGGUUUAACAGAAUUAUUACACUGAUCAUUCAGUAAUUACACUUUUUGUAAUGUUUACAGUGACAUGGGAUCAUCAUUAUAAAUCAGUUUACUCAUUAGAAAGUAGCAGGAUACAUUUUAUGUGCGCAGAGCUGUGUUUUCUGCUGAGAUUCAGUCAAAUGCUGCAUAACUGUUCAUGAAUGGCCAAGUUAGGUCACCUGACCUCAGCUAAACAUGCUGCUCUCUUACUGUAGACAAAACUAAAAGUAGAAAACCCCACAAAGCUGCAGCGACUGAAGGCAGCUGCAGUAAAGGCUCAGAAAAGCAUCUCAAAGGAGGAAACGUGGCAUUCGGGGAUGUUUAUGGUUUCCAGAUCCUGCCUUAAAAAUGGGAAAAGUUCCUCACUGAGAUUCAGAGUCCCCGCUAUGCCCGUCUGAGGGAUUGGCACCACGACAGGUCUGCUCGCGCCCUCAAUAUUAAAUCCUGAGCGACAUACUAGACGCCCUGGGACGCAGAGCCCAGCCAGAGCCGGCUAGCGAUAGCUACACUGCAACGACUACGUGAUAAAGACGACGAAGAUAGUGGACUGUCUCCUGGCAGUUGACAAAUUCACCUCCUUAGAUGCAGAUGGACUGACAAAGAAAUUUGGGGAAGCGAAGAAAAGCAAAAAUAUAAGAAACGUAUCCUAGAUGACAAAAGCCUAAAGUGGAACCUUGCAUACUGAGCCUAAGUGUAAGAUCUCCCUCUGAAAUUCUGACUUGAUGAUUGUUGACAACACUGUGGACCAUUGUGUCUGUAGCCCUAUUUUCCAUUUCACACUGCGUUACUCGGAGUAAACUGGUGGAAAGGUGGGGAGGGGGGUCUCGGCGGUGGGAAGCACUGUUCUUUCUUCUUUGAUUGUGAAGUUCAGACCCUCCUUUUGAUCUCUGUCUGUCUCUUUUGCUGCCUGUUUACAUUUAUUGAGUUUUCAUCUUUUAGAGUUCUCAGUUUUGAUCCCCUCUUCUAAUAGGCUUCUCGCACAAUUUAAAGAAAAAAAAACUGUACUUUUUUUUUUCCUGCUGUCAUCAAAAAUAUAUAAAAUAUAAAACAUCUGGAAAAAAAAGCA